ACAGGUUAAGCUGUCAGUGUCCCUUAUAAAUUCAACAAGAAGAAAAUAGAUAACAGGUAAAAAGGUGCUAGGAGACUUGUCCAUACAUGUUGCCUCGACCAGCUUUCAUGCAACCUACUCCUGGAUGUGAACCAAGAACCCGAUGGAAACAAGGACCCCUGUGGAAAUAAAAACAUUGUAUUGAAGCAGUUUAUGAAGAUUAGCCAAAAUAUGUCAAAAUUAUGUGCUCUUCAAAAUGCAUUCACUAAAUCCCCAAAACAAUUUAGUAAUGUAACUGAGGAGUGCUGUGCCUGGCUGUGUCUGCUGCAACAUUGAUCAACACAGCAACAUUGAUCAACACAGCAACAUUGAUCAACACAGCAACAUUGAUCAACACAGCAACAUUGAUCAGUCUGAGGGGUGGAGACACUAGUAAAUAAUCUGACCCGUAACACUUAGUGUUAUAUGGAGAUGCAGCAGCUGGAGACGUAGUCAAAGAUGGGCGGGGCCCACUUAUAAGGUUGAAGAUGUCCGUGUUGUGGGCAGCUGCUGUGUGGUGAAGACCGUGCUGUGGGCAGCUGCUGUGUGGCGAAGACCGUGCUGUGGGCAGCUGCUGUGUGGCGAAGACCGUGCUGUGGGCAGCUGCUGUGUGGCGAAGACCGUGCUGUGGGCAGCUGCUGUGUGGUGAAGACCGUGCUGUGGGCAGCUGCUGUGUGGUGAAGACCGUGCUGUGGGCAGCUGCUGUGUGGUGAAGACCGUGCUGUGGGCAGCUGCUGUGUGGCGAAGACCGUGCUGUGGGCAGCUGCUGUGUGGCGAAGACCGUGCUGUGGGCAGCUGCUGUGUGGCGAAGACCGUGCUGUGGGCAGCUGCUGUGUGGCGAAGACCGUGCUGUGGGCAGCUGCUGUGUGGCGAAGACCGUGCUGUGGGCAGCUGCUGUGUGGCGAAGACCGUGCUGUGGGCAGCUGCUGUGUGGCGAAGACCGUGCUGUGGGCAGCUGCUGUGUGGCGAAGACCGUGCUGUGGGCAGCUGCUGUGUGGCGAAGACCGUGCUGUGGGCAGCUGCUGUGUGGCGAAGACCGUGCUGUGGGCAGCUGCUGUGUGGCGAAGACCGUGC